GAGCCGACGACGGACGUGCCAAGCUGCGAAAAGCUCGUGGGACCCGCAUGGAGGGAAAGAACACGAGAUCUCCCAAUCGGAAUCCGUUCAACAAUUGCCACGCGCAAUAGGGAACGCCCUGAAUUGAAACAUCUCAGUAAGGGCAGGAAAAGAACGCAACAGCGAUGUCGUCAGUAACCGCGAGUAAACGCGACACAGCCCAAACCGAAGGUCUUCGGACCAAUGUGGUGUUCGGGUUGACAACCAAAUCUCGACAACUCAUCUGAAGUCUCCUGGAACGGAGCGUGAAACAGGGUGACAACCCCGUAAGAUGAGUCAGUACAGAUGGCGUCAAAUCCAGAGUAGCAGGGGUCGGAUAUCCUCUGUGAACACCUCAGGCAUCCCCUGAGAAGGCUAAACACUCCUCGAGACCGAUAGCGAACAAGUAGCGUGAGCGAACGCUGAAAAGCACCCCGAAAAGGGCGGUGCAAUAGGGCCUGAAAUCAGCUG
rnacentral:rRNA from 1 species